rnacentral:miRNA from 1 species
AAACUUUCACCAUACAAAAUA